rnacentral:rRNA from 1 species
UGACCGCUGGCGGCGUGCCUACUACAUGCAAGUCGCGCGAACAGACGAGGAGCUUGCUCCUCUGACGUUAGCGGCGGACGGGUGAGUAACACGUGGAUAACCUACCUAUAAGACUGGGAUAACUUCGGGAAACCGGAGCUAAUACCGGAUAAUAUAUUGAACCGCAUGGUUCAAUAGUGAAAGACGGUUUUGCUGUCACUUAUAGAUGGAUCCGCGCCGCAUUAGCUAGUUGGUAAGGUAACGGCUUACCAAGGCAACGAUGCGUAGCCGACCUGAGAGGGUGAUCGGCCACACUGGAACUGAGACACGGUCCAGACUCCUACGGGAGGAAGCAGUAGGGAAUCUUCCGCAAUGGGCGAAAGCUUGACGGAGCAACGCCGCGUGAGUGAUGAAGGUCUUCGGAUCGUAAAACUCUGUUAUUAGGGAAGAACAAAUGUGUAAGUAACUAUGCACGUCUUGACGGUACCUAAUCAGAAAGCCACGGCUAACUACGUG